GGGAGGUAGUGACAAUAAAUAACAAUACGGGGUUCUUUCGGAUCUCGUAAUUGGAAUGAGUACAAUUUAAAUCUCCUAACGAGGAACAAUUGGAGGGCAAGUCUGGUGCCAGCAGCCGCGGUAAUUCCAGCUCCAAUAGCGUAUAUUAAAGUUGUUGCAGUUAAAAAGCUCGUAGUUGAAUUUCGGGGUUAGCAGGUUGGUCGUGCCACUGGUAUGCACUGGCCUUGCUGAUUCCUCCCUCUUGAUGAGCCGUAAUGUCAUUAAUUUGGUGUUACGGGGAAUUAGGACUGUUACCUU
rnacentral:rRNA from 1 species